CCUACGGGAGGCAGCAGUGAGGAAUAUUGGUCAAUGGACGAGAGUCUGAACCAGCCAAGUAGCGUGAAGGAUGACUGCCCUAUGGGUUGUAAACUUCUUUUAUAUGGGAAUAAAAUGUUCCACGUGUGGGAUUUCGUAUGUACCAUAUGAAUAAGGAUCGGCUAACUCCGUGCCAGCAGCCGCGGUAAUACGGAGGAUCCGAGCGUUAUCCGGAUUUAUUGGGUUUAAAGGGUGCGCAGGCGGAAUGUUAAGUCAGCGGUAAAAUUUCGGGGCUCAACCCCGUCGUGCCGUUGAAACUGGCGUUCUUGAGAGAGCGAGAGGUAGGCGGAAUGCGAGGUGUAGCGGUGAAAUGCAGAGAUAUCGCGCAGAACUCCGAUUGCGAAGGCAGCAUACCGGCGCUCAACUGACGCUCAGGCACGAAAGCGUGGGUAUCGAACAGGAUUAGAUACCCGGGUAGUC
rnacentral:rRNA from 1 species